rnacentral:rRNA from 1 species
CUACGGGGCGCUGCAGUGAGGAAUAUUGCACAAUGGGGGGAACCCUGAUGCAGCAACGCCGCGUGGAGGAUGGCGCAUUUCGGUGUGUAAACUCCUUUUAUAUGUCAAGAAAAUGACGGUAGCAUAUGAAUAAGCACCGGCUAACUCCGUGCCAGCAGCCGCGGUAAUACGGAGGGUGCAAGCGUUACUCGGAAUCACUGGGCGUAAAGGACGCGUAGGCGGGUUGGAAAGUCAGGUGUGAAAUCCUACAGCUUAACUGUAGAACUGCACUUGAAACUUCUAAUCUAGAGUAUGGGAGGGGGAGAUGGAGUUAGUGGUGUAGGGGUAAAAUCCGUAGAUAUCACUAGGAAUACCUAAAGCGAAGGCGAUCUCCUGGAACAUUACUGACGCUAAGGCGUGAAAGCGUGGGGAGCAAACAGGAUUAGAUACCCCUGUAGUC